UACGUAGGGGCCUAGCGUUGUCCGGAUUUAUUGGGCGUAAAGAGCUCGUAGGCGGUUCGGCAAGUUGGAUGUGAAAUCUCCACGCUCAACGUGGAGGGGCCAUUCGAAACUGCCGUGACUCGAGUCCGGUAGGGGAGUGUGGAAUUCCCGGUGUAGCGGUGAAAUGCGCAGAUAUCGGGAGGAACACCAGUAGCGAAGGCGGCACUCUGGGCCGGUACUGACGCUGAGGAGCGAAAGCGUGGGGAGCGAACAGG
rnacentral:rRNA from 1 species